rnacentral:misc_RNA from 1 species
CUGCUAAAUGAUAAAAAAAAAAGUUAAGAAACACAAUAAAAAAAAUUUUUGUUUUUUACUUUAUGUCAAGCGUCUACUACAUUGUCACGUGUAUUUUUAAAAGUAAAAUAUACUGUACAUUUUGAAUUGUACCUAGUGUUGUUUUAAGUGUUAUUACCAUUUUUGAACGGUUGUUGUUGAUGUUAUUGUUUUUAUAAUUCAUCAAAAUGGUUUUAAUGUGCUCAGUUCCACUUUGUAAAAGUGUUUCAUCUAAACAACACAAUGUUAAACUACACAAGUUUGCAGCAUCAGAAGAACUUAAGCGUAAAUGGCUAGAUAGUAUUAAGUUAUACUAUCCUAAUUUUAAAAUUAGCAAAUUCAGUUUAGUGUGUAGUAAACAUUUUGCUGAAAUUGAUUUUAUUAAAACCACUAGAUCAAAAUCCUUUUCACUACGUAAAGAUGCAGUACCCUCAUUGUUCGACGUUGAAGAAUGUGUGUAUGUUUUCAAUGAUAUUUAUGGUGAUCCUAAUAUUAGUAGCCUAUCUACUGUUGAUGUUAUGGAAGUUGAACCAACAUAUUCAUUUUGUAAAGAUGCAGUACCUACGUUGUUUGAUGAUGAAGAAUGUGUGUAUGUUUUCAAUGAUAGUGAACUUGAUGGUGAUUCUAAUAUUCCUAGCACAUCUAUUAUUGAUGUUAUGGAAACUUCCAAGGGUGUAACAACAUCACCAAAGAUGAGUAAUAAUUCCAAUAUUUCUGGACCAUCAUGAUUUGCAAACGUUGAUUUUAUAGAAACUUCCAUAAAAGUAACUACACCAACAAAUAUGAGCAAUAUUUCUGGACCAUCAAACAUUGAUGUCAUGAAAACUUCUAUUUUGGAUAUUCAAGUACCAGUAACUCCAAAAAGAAUGACGAAUACUACCAAUAAGUCCAUACAUCUAGACAUUUAUAUUAAAAUCAAUUUCAAAGAUAAAUAUCAACAAAUACUUUCUAAACUUGACUGAUCAUAUACAUAAUGAACAUCCGAUAAAUAAUCAUUUAAUUCAAAUCAUCAAAGAAAUUUUCAAAACUUAUUUUAGUAUAAGAAUACACCAUUUCAACCAAACAAGUAGUCAGCCUACAGAAAGAAUACAAUCACAUUUUACAAAACUUGUACAUUUCAGACAUCAGUAAUAUAUAUGUUCACAUAGGUAGUAAGUUAUAAUAAUUUAAGUCAUUGUUGAUUGUUAUAAAAUAUCCUAAUAAAAUAUUAUUUUUUAUUCAUUAAAUAAAUUCAUUUUGUAUUUCUUUUGUUAAAAGUAAGUAAUAAUAUUUAAGGCAGUUAUAAUAUCAAAGGCAAGUUUAUUUAGCACUCUGUUUAUUACUUCGUUUAUAGCUGAUAAAAUAAGUUCUUCACCAACAGCAUGUGGUGUGCCAGAUUUGACAAUCAGUAAAGAAAUGUAAAAAAAUGCAAUCCAUCAUCAUCUUGCAUCAACAUUGUUGAAAACAUUUUGACAGAUGUUGGAUAUUUAAAAAAUGUCUUCUCAAGUGUUUGAAAACAAAACGAAUCUAUAUUUUUUUUAUUACCUAGCAUUAACUUGUAUUCGAUUUUCUUGCAGUCAUGACGGUUUCAUAGCUUCAUUUGUAAAAGUUUUUGGCAAAUGAGGCACAUCAGUAAUGUAAUAUUUGAAGGCAAUGAAUAAAAAUAUUUAACCGUACUUCGAACAUUUAAUAUUAUACUGCCCAUAUUUUUCGGUCGGCAUCCGUGUAAAAUAAAUAAUAAUUACUAAAUACAAUGAGAAAUGAGAAUUCAAAUAAUAUAAAUUUUUCCAGAGUCCAAAAUAUAAAUUAUUAUGAAUUCUUCUGCGAUAACGACCGGAUUCGGCAAACAACGAAAGAUAUAAUUCUAAAAAUACAAAAUACACAGGAAACUUUAAGCGACAUAAACAAUAUAUCUAUUAUAAAUAUGACAAAACCAUAAUGAAUUAUAUAACUACCUAUAUUGGCAGGAAACAUAAAUAGAAGAAACAAUAAAUAUUAAUUUUAUCUUCCCAAAUACUGGUUUUUGCCUAUCAGAUGUUGACUUAUUUUUUCACCGUGCUAUGGGUGUUGAAGGCGCAGUCCAUUCAGUUAAUAUGUCUAUGUAGAAUACAUUGCAAUAGUCACAAUAUUAUUCCCAUUGGAUAAAUAUAAUUUAUAAGUUCAAUUAUAUUUUAAGCUAUUCAUAAUAAUUAAUAACAUAUUUUAAAUUGUAUA